GGUUAAGCGACUAAGCGUACACGGUGGAUGCCCUGGCAGUCAGAGGCGAUGAAGGACGUGCUAAUCUGCGAAAAGCGUCGGUAAGGUGAUAUGAACCGUUAUAGCCGGCGAUGUCCGAAUGGGGAAACCCAGUGCAAUUCGUUGCACUAUCGUUAACUGAAUACAUAGGUUAACGAGGCGAACCGGGGGAACUGAAACAUCUAAGUACCCCGAGGAAAAGAAAUCAACCGAGAUUCCCCCAGUAGCGGCGAGCGAACGGGGAGCAGCCCAGAGUCUGAAUCAGCUUGUGUGUUAGUGGAACGGUCUGGAAAGUCCGACGGUACAGGGUGAUAGUCCCGUACACCAAAAUGCACAGGUUGUGAACUCGAAGAGUAGGGCGGGACACGUGGUAUCCUGUCUGAAUAUGGGGGGACCAUCCUCCAAGGCUAAAUACUCCUGACUGACCGAAGAUAGUGAACCAGUACCGUGAGGGAAAGGCGAAAAGAACCCCGGCGAGGGGAGUGAAAAAGAACCUGAAACCGUGUACGUACAAGCAGUGGGAGCACCUUCGGGUGUGACUGCGUACCUUUUGUAUAAUGGGUCAGCGACUUAUAUUCUGUAGCAAGGUUAACCGUAUAGGGGAGCCGCAGGGAAACCGAGUCUUAACUGGGCGUUAAGUUGCAGGGUAUAGACCCGAAACCCGGUGAUCUAGCCAUGGGCAGGUUGAAGGUUGGGUAACACUAACUGGAGGACCGAACCGACUAAUGUUGAAAAAUUAGCGGAUGACUUGUGGCUGGGGUGAAAGGCCAAUCAAACCGGGAGAUAGCUGGUUCUCCCCGAAAGCUAUUUAGGUAGCGCCUCGUGAACUCAUCUUCGGGGUAGAGCACUGUUUCGGCUAGGGGGUCAUCCCGACUUACCAACCCGAUGCAAACUACGAAUACCGAAGAAUGUUAUCACGGGAGACACACGGCGGGUGCUAACGUCCGUCGUGAAGAGGGAAACAACCCAGACCGCCAGCUAAGGUCCCAAAGUCAUGGUUAAGUGGGAAACGAUGUGGGAAGGCACAGACAGCCAGGAUGUUGGCUUAGAAGCAGCCAUCAUUUAAAGAAAGCGUAAUAGCUCACUGGUCGAGUCGGCCUGCGCGGAAGAUGUAACGGGGCUAAACCAUGCACCGAAGCUGCGGCAGCGACACUAUGUGUUGUUGGGUAGGGGAGCGUUCUGUAAGCCUGCGAAGGUGUGCUGUGAGGCAUGCUGGAGGUAUCAGAAGUGCGAAUGCUGACAUAAGUAACGAUAAAGCGGGUGAAAAGCCCGCUCGCCGGAAGACCAAGGGUUCCUGUCCAACGUUAAUCGGGGCAGGGUGAGUCGACCCCUAAGGCGAGGCCGAAAGGCGUAGUCGAUGGGAAACAGGUUAAUAUUCCUGUACUUGGUGUUACUGCGAAGGGGGGACGGAGAAGGCUAUGUUAGCCGGGCGACGGUUGUCCCGGUUUAAGCAUGUAGGCUGAUUGUCCAGGCAAAUCCGGAUAAUCAAGGCUGAGGUGUGAUGACGAGGCACUACGGUGCUGAAGUAACAAAUGCCCUGCUUCCAGGAAAAGCCUCUAAGCAUCAGGUAACAUUAAAUCGUACCCCAAACCGACACAGGUGGUCAGGUAGAGAAUACCAAGGCGCUUGAGAGAACUCGGGUGAAGGAACUAGGCAAAAUGGUGCCGUAACUUCGGGAGAAGGCACGCUGGUGUGUAGGUGAAGUCCCUGCGGAUGGAGCUGAGACCAGUCGAAGAUACCAGCUGGCUGCAACUGUUUAUUAAAAACACAGCACUGUGCAAACACGAAAGUGGACGUAUACGGUGUGACGCCUGCCCGGUGCCGGAAGGUUAAUUGAUGGGGUUAUCCGUAAGGAGAAGCUCUUGAUCGAAGCCCCGGUAAACGGCGGCCGUAACUAUAACGGUCCUAAGGUAGCGAAAUUCCUUGUCGGGUAAGUUCCGACCUGCACGAAUGGCGUAAUGAUGGCCAGGCUGUCUCCACCCGAGACUCAGUGAAAUUGAACUCGCUGUGAAGAUGCAGUGUACCCGCGGCAAGACGGAAAGACCCCGUGAACCUUUACUAUAGCUUGACACUGAACAUUGAGCCUUGAUGUGUAGGAUAGGUGGGAGGCUUUGAAGCGUGGACGCCAGUCUGCGUGGAGCCAACCUUGAAAUACCACCCUUUAAUGUUUGAUGUUCUAACGUUGGCCCCUGACCGGGGUUGCGGACAGUGUCUGGUGGGUAGUUUGACUGGGGCGGUCUCCUCCCAAAGCGUAACGGAGGAGCACGAAGGUUAGCUAAUCCUGGUCGGACAUCAGGAGGUUAGUGCAAUGGCAUAAGCUAGCUUGACUGCGAGCGUGACGGCGCGAGCAGGUGCGAAAGCAGGUCAUAGUGAUCCGGUGGUUCUGAAUGGAAGGGCCAUCGCUCAACGGAUAAAAGGUACUCCGGGGAUAACAGGCUGAUACCGCCCAAGAGUUCAUAUCGACGGCGGUGUUUGGCACCUCGAUGUCGGCUCAUCACAUCCUGGGGCUGAAGUAGGUCCCAAGGGUAUGGCUGUUCGCCAUUUAAAGUGGUACGCGAGCUGGGUUUAGAACGUCGUGAGACAGUUCGGUCCCUAUCUGCCGUGGGCGCUGGAGAAUUGAGGGGGGCUGCUCCUAGUACGAGAGGACCGGAGUGGACGCAUCACUGGUGUUCGGGUUGUCAUGCCAAUGGCACUGCCCGGUAGCUAAAUGCGGAAGAGAUAAGUGCUGAAAGCAUCUAAGCACGAAACUUGCCCCGAGAUGAGUUCUCCCUGAGACUUUAAGUCUCCUGAAGGAACGUUAAAGACGAUGACGUUGAUAGGCCGGGUGUGUAAGCGCAGCGAUGCGUUGAGCUAACCGGUACUAAUGAACCGUGAGGCUUAACCUU
rnacentral:rRNA from 1 species